rnacentral:rRNA from 1 species
UGGGGAAUUUUGGACAAUGGGCGCAAGCCUGAUCCAGCAAUGCCGCGUGCAGGAUGAAGGCCUUCGGGUUGUAAACUGCUUUUGUACGGAACGAAACGGUCUUUUCUAACACAGAAGGCUAAUGACGGUACCUGAAGAAUAAGCACCGGCCAACUACGUGCCAGCAGCCGCGGUAAUACGUAGGGUGCAAGCGUUAAUCGGAAUUACUGGGCGUAAAGCGGGCGCAGGCGGUUAUGCAAGACAGAGGUGAAAUCCCCGGGCUCAACCUGGGAACUGCCUUUGUGACUGCAUAGCUAGAGUACGGUAGAGGGGGAUGGAAUUCCGCGUGUAGCAGUGAAAUGCGUAGAUAUGCGGGGGAACACCGAUGGCGAAGGCAAUCCCCUGGGCCUGCACUGACGCUCAUGCACGAAAGCGUGGGGAGCAAACA